GACGAACGCUGGCGGCGUGCUUAACACAUGCAAGUCGAACGGAAAGGCCCUGCUUUUGUGGGGUGCUCGAGUGGCGAACGUGUGAGUAACACGUGAGUAACCUUCCCUUGACUUUGGGAUAACUUCAGGAAACUGGUGCUAAUACCGGAUAGGAGCUCCUGCUGCAUGGUGGGGGUUGGAAAGUUUCGGCGGUUGGGGAUGGACUCGCGGCUUAUCAGCUUGUUGGUGGGGUAGUGGCUUACCAAGGCUUUGACGGGUAGCCGGCCUGAGAGGGUGACCGGCCACAUUGGGACUGAGAUACGGCCCAGACGCCUACGGGAGGCAGCAGUGGGGAAUAUUGCACAAUGGGCGGAAGCCUGAGGAAGAAACGCCGGGUGCGGGAUGACGGCCUUCGGGGUGUAAACCGCUUUCGCCUGUGACGAAGCGUGAGUGACGGUAAUGGGUAAAGAAGCACCGGCUAACUACGUG
rnacentral:rRNA from 1 species